rnacentral:tRNA from 1 species
GCAGUCGUGGCUGAGUGGUUAAGGCAAUGGACUAGAAAUUUAUCCAUUGGGGUCUCCCCGCACAGGUUCGAAUCCUGUCGACUGCG